UUCACCUCCAACCUCUAGGCAGGACCCUGGCUUUCCCUUUGGAGCCAGGAAUAUAAAGACACGGGGCCAUCGGGCUGACCCAGAGGGCCCAGCUGUCAAUCACAGUCUCGCCAUCUCUGCUGCCUUUCACACCAGGCAGCUGGACCCAUCGCUGUCAACCAGAAAACAAUUGGAUCAGGUCCCCAGCUCCAGGGAACACCAGGAUUAUUUUUUCACGUUCAGCUCCUGAUGGCCAGUCACAUCGAAUAAUAAACUGGGUACCAAUGGCACAUGAGCUCUGCAAAGAUGGAAACAUAGCAGGGUGGAUUGCAAGUUUGGAUAGGGGAGGUUUGCUGGGCCACGGGGUAACUCCUCAGCCCCUGGCAAGGUACCAUGUAACAGUUUUGGUGGGGGACACACAGACGGGUUGCUGCUGCAGGAGAGUCUGCCCGCCCUGCAAGACUGGUGGUUUCAGGAAAAGCAGCAGAGAAACUGAGCAUGCUUAUUUCUGUUUCCCGUGUCUGCGCGUGCCUGUGUGUGUUUCAGGACCAAGGUCUGCCUUUCAAAGUGACUGGCAGCUAUCCUCAAGAGAGCAGAAGAUAGGAGCCGUCCACCAGAAGCACUAACUACCCUAUCACCUCUACAGCUAAGCAGGACCUCUUGUAGAUUUCCCUGUUUUCCCCAACACUGGCUUUGCCACUAGAAAAGGGAGAGGUAGUCUACGUUAUUUGCUUAUCAUAACGGAUUUCUUAUCAUUGUUUGAGGUUGCUCCCAAAGGAGUGAGGGCUUCUUGGGUUUCUUUUAGCACUCGGGUUCUGAUUGCCCUGAUGUCUGCUGGUAACACUGGACUCAAACCCUGUUGGUCCAUAGCGGCCAAAUCUAUGCCAGGACGCUAUAGACCUUCCCACCUGAAUAGCCCAUUCAGGUAGUUAUGCCCAUCUCCAAUUUCCUCUACCAAAGGGGGAAAAAAAGAAAAAGAAAAAGAAAAAGAAAAAAGUCCAGUUCUACAAAAAUAUUGCCGUCCUAUCUCCCUGAGGGGCUCUGGUAUUAGUUUGUUCUAAGUAGCUCAUGAUUUAGAAUACAAAGGCAUUUCCAGAGUGCAUGUUUAACAAAAUGACAUAGCAGAUAAUUGAAAUUUAUUUGCAAUUUUCAAACUACAAUAAACACAAUUCUCCUUUUCUUUCAUUAAUAAUCGCACGGCUAAUGCAUAGCAAUCCCUCUGCAGCUUUUACAAGCAAACUUGAGCUGCCGUGCUGUAAUAGCUGGAAAAGUUAAUGUAGCUUGAACGAGGUUUCUAAUUGUCCCUGUCUCUGUCAUAUUUGUCUACUUGAAUGGUCCUAAAUACCACAGCGAUUAAUUACUACAGAGCAGGUAUUACAAGAUGUUAUCAUCUUUCCCCAACCGUCUGGGUGAAUGGAGAGAAGGGGAGAUUGUUACAGUGUUUCAUCUCUGCUCUUCCUGUAAGACACUUUAACCAGAAGAUUUAACGUGUCAAAGUUAACAGCGUUUCUAGCAGAUAUUCACAUUCUAAUUAAAGAUUAAGAACGUAGUACAUUACACUGUGAUUUGUCAUACAUGGCUUGUUAAAUAGGAAACCUACCGGGAUUCCCUAACAUUUUAUAAACAUUAUUCAGGGCUUUUAAUGUGGGCAAAGUGAAAGAUUGUUCAACUGCAUUGCAGCACAGAAAGCAGGUCGCCCUCAGUCCCUCCCCCACCCAACUCCCAAUAAAUAACAAGAUGAGACAAGUUAGGCUGCUGAGAGGCUGGCUUGCACUGGAGGUUCUCUUGGAGCCAUGAAUCACCUCUGGACCUCUUCCUGGCCAAGGCAGGCGGUGACCCUUCGUUAGACACAGUGUGCACACACACAGCAAGUGUGCAUGCAUAACAAACAGAUGCCCACGGAUCCCACAAUGGGUUUUCUCUAUACAGCUGAGUCUUUUUACUUAAUUUAAAGAUAUUAUUGCCAACAUCUAAAGCUCUUUUUUUAAAAAAAAGAAGACUUUCUUCUCAUAUUUACAGAUAGUCUCUGAAUAUGAAUUAUUUAAGUGCCUUCCCAGGGAAAAAUCAAAGAGGCUCUUAGUGCUGUUUAGAACUUAAGCUUUUAAUUUAUUUUAUCAAGGCUCAGAGGGUACACUAAUUGUCAGGACAAGCCCUCCACCCCCCUCAAAAUAAUCUGCACAUGUUUGAAAAUUCAAUUUCUUUUUUUCAUAUACAAAUUUUGGUGUGCUCACUAAUACACAGAAAUCAAUUAUUUCUGUGGUACAGUUACAUGCAGGAAACUGCAUACCCUCCUAAACUAAAGGAAUAUAGAUUUAUUAAUACAUAUCUGUAAUAUCUCUUAAGGAUUUUUGAACGUGUUUUUCACCUUGAAAGGACCUGCCUGAAGCCUACACAGCAGCGAAAUCAUUGUAGUCCAGUGUUUUUUUGUCACACACACAGAGAGCACAGAUUUUUUUGAUUAUGUAGAUUUCUUUUCCUACUGCAGUUUCAUAUGCAAAGCAUGCAUCGGCCACAUCCAUGCUAUCUCCUAAAGCAGUCAUUCUGAAACCCAAUCUGGGGACAGUGCAGACUAAAUAAAAUUUCAUUUUGAUUUGGCCUCCCGCUGCGAACGGGACUGCUUUGUCUCGGCCGACAGAACCAGCAAGCCAGAAAGGUACCGAAACUGGGAACCGAUGUUCCUCUGGAACCAGCAUGAAAACUCCACAAAAUCCCUAGUUUGUCUCCACAGUGUUCUUAUUCCAAGUGUGCUGAGAGAAAAGGCCAGACAUGGAUACCUUAAUUUUGUAAAACAGAAAGCGUUUCAAGAAUAUCCUGGAGGCAGAUGCAUCUUAAAUAUGAAAAUCAAAGCAGACACUUCAGAAGGGAAUGCAGCUUCAGCGGGAACUCUAAGAAUUUCCUGAGAAUUGACCAAAGAGAAGAUGCCACCGAAGACACACAGGCAACGUGUUUCCUGAGUAUUGACCACAGAGGAGGCGUCACCUAAGACACAGGCAACGUCUCCAUUAAACUCGGCCUCUGAGAAACUUGUCUGUAUCCUGGUCACCCAGUGUCUGCCCGUCUGUCUUCCUCCAUCCCUUACAUUCCCUUGACCCUGUUGACUUUGCCUGCCUGGUUUUCCAUUUACUUCCGGAGGCAUUGCACUGUUUUUUAAAGAGCAACGAUUCUGCCGCAACACUUCUAGAGAAAGGCAAUCAGACUCUGGUCUUCAUAGUUAUAAUUCUGUUGCCCAGCAACUACCUGUAUUUGAACCUUUUCACUCAUUUAACUGUGUUCUCCCAAACUCCUAGCACAUUAUUCCGUUGGCUUUCUUUAUUUUGGGCAGCAGAGGAAUUUCCGCUCUAGAAUUCAGCUGCCUGCAGGAAAACGUAUUCAGGAGGAGACUCAGUAAUAAGGAGGACUCCCUGUUAAAGACCGGGUUACAUUGCCAGCACUUACAAGGUAGCUCACAGCUACCAAUCACUGCGAUUCUGAAGAACUUAAUGCCUUUCAUUCCACAGGCUCCUGCAUGCAUGUGAUACACAUAAACUUGUUCAAGCACACACAUGUACACAUAAAAACAACAAAUACAUUUAUUUUUAUACAUUUUUAAAGUAUUCAAGAGCUUACACCAGCACAUUCUAGUGUACAAGUCAGAUAGACAGCCUUGCUUGUAUCCUUCAUAGAACAAGGACCAAGGUUGUGAAAACCCUAGCUGACCGAAGCUGGGGCAAUGUCUCAGAGCAUGUUAUACAAAUUUCAGAGACUAAGAUAGCUUUCUAUCUUAGAAUUCCAUUUCUAUAAUCUUCUACUUAUCAAGAUAUUUUGUCUAAGAAAUCAGCUGACUUUGCACAGCACUGAUCAGUUACAAAGUAUGACCUUGGAGGACCAGAGAUCCCUCUGUCCUGUGCUGUGCCUCCUACACAGGUUAUCCUUACAGGAGCCCUCCUCCUGCUGCCCCGGCUGCUGCUGGGGCAGAGUAUGAUGAUGGUGAUGGUGGUGGUGGUGAUAAUGAUGAUGGAGAUAAUGGUGGUGGUGGUGAUGAUAAUGAUGAAGAAGAAGAGGAAAAUGAUGUCCUUGCUUUUCCACCCCCGUGGACCACUUUGCGUUUUUAUAAUCUAAAACAAUUACUGGAACACAUAUGAUUUUGAAUGUUUGUUGGAGAAAAGGUUAGAUCAACACUGAUUCCACAGCACUAACCAACCAAGGAUGGUGAAAACAGUGUGACUACACACACACUCACACACUCACACACUCACACACACAUACAACAAAUAGUCACUUCUAUGCAAAGCUACUUCUCAUCUGAAAGCUAAUAGGGACAUUUUUGCAGGGCAGUGAGACCAAGACAUUUGUUUUGCUCACGAUGAAAGUCCAAUGCCCACGACCAAGGACAUAUUCUGGAGCUUCUCUCUUAAGGAGAAAGAAGAAUAUAAUUUAGAGGGAUGAGACAGUAUUAGAGAAAAGAACUUGUUGAGAAAAGUGAACAACACACAGGGAAUAAUCAGGAGAGCAAGAGUUUGAAUCUAAGAAUGUUGUGGGCAUCUGAGCCAUAGUUGUGACUUGGUAUGAGACACAAACAGUAAAGGCAACUAUGUGAGAAUUGUUCCCACCAUUGCCUGUUCUCAGAGCCCAUUCCUGCUCACUCCCAGAGAGUGUCUCACUGCAUGAGCACACUACAAUUUAUACAUUUAUGGAAGUGGUGCACAAAUGUUCAGGUCCUUUCCAGUUUAGGGCUGCUGGGGAUAACCCUGGGUGGACUUGGAUAUAAAAGCUUUGCCUGUACCACAUUUCCAUUGUCUUUUUAUCCAUAAACCCUGACCAGUAAGUUUGUGUUGUAAGGCCAAUGGUUUGCCUCUUUGAAGGAGGGGGACAGUUCAUCCUUCCGGGUCAUUUUAACGGUAACUACAGUCAUGAUCACUGAGUCUGCAUCCUUGUGGGUGGCUCUAUUGCAUGAGAGAAUCUGAAAGACACACGCUGAAGUGCCUGAAUUUCUUAUUAUAUUUGGGUAUGAAUAUAUUUUGGGAUGCAGGUCUUUUUCCUAAUACAUGCUUCAAGGAUAUUUUUUGCCAAUUCACAAGAGUUUGUACGAGCUCACCAUGUCUUUGAGGAGCAGGAGAUUUUAAUUCGAUGAACUCCACGUUUGUGGCUGUGUUGUUGCGCUAAGGCAUCGAAUUGUUCCAACGCCAUUUUAUAAAUGCUUCCUGGCUUUGAUGCAUCUAGAGUGUGACAGGUGCUCCACAACAGAACAUCUAUGAACACGGUAUAGAGAAAACUCACAAAAGAUUGCAAGAGAUUCCAAAGCUUCAUUUUAACCUUUAAAAACCUUGAGAUCUGAGAUCCUUGAGGCCCCAGGGAAGGGGGAGGCCUGGUGGAGGUGGGGGAGCACCUUCUCAGAGGAAAGCGGGAGGAGGAAUGGGAUGAGGAACUGUGGGAGGGUGACCAGGAAGGGGGCAAUCAACGACUAGAACGUAAAGAAAAUAAUUUUAAAACAAAAACAAAACAAACAAACCAGCCAAACAAAAGAACCUCGAGAUCUCUGUAGAGUUGGGCCAAAUCAUGAGAAAUUAUACAAAAUAAUAGCAGAAAUAUUUGCCCGGUUUUCUUAGGGUACCACAGUCAGGUCAAGUAUAGCACGUGCGGGAAACUCACACUGAACAGGUGGUCAACACUGCUGGUUUUGUCUGAGACUUUCUUCUAGGCCCGUGGAAUCCCAUUUCGGCUUCCCUGGUGGCUGCGGAGAAGGCGCAUCUUCUGCUUAGCUGCCGCCUUUAUCCUUCUCACGGAGCUCUUACUUUUUAUCGUUUUUUAUUAUUAUUAUUAUUAUUAUUAUUAUUAACUAUUUGCAAUUUUUCAAUUACAUAAUCUUCAAAUAUUAUAGCCCAGUCUGCUGCUUGUCUUUUUGUCUUCUCUGCCCUGAUUUUUGCCCGGAGAGGGUUGUGUUUCUGAUCCAUUCUAAUUCACACUGUGGUUCUGACCAGGUGUUUAAAUCUCUGCUUUGCCUCAGAUCCGCAAGGUUUUCCCCGAAUCUUCUAAUACUCACACACCUCAUGACUCUCAGGCUUAUGGUUCAUUUUGACGUCAUUUUUGUAUAAGGCAAAAACACGGGUGAAACUCUAUUGUUUUGCACUUUUCUAUGCAAUCACUCCUAAUGAACAUGCAUCGGCAUUUAAUGAGAUGUUUCCUCUUCCUCUGAACUGUUUGCACCUUUGCCAUAUAUACUUACUAGCAAAUAGACAAUCAGUUUUCCCCAGUAGAUGUCAUUGUGUAUCAACCACACUUCAGUGCAUGCCCUAGGCUCAGGUAGUUGGCCAGCAGAAAACAUAUCCUUUGUGUAUCUGAUGGGUUUUUUGUUUCAUUUUGGUCUUACUGGGUUUUUGUUUGUUUUGAUUUUCUUGUUUGUUUUGUUUUAUUUUGAGACAGAGAGAGAGAGAGAGAGAGAGAGAGAGAGAGAACCUGAAGUCCGGUGUGAAAAGAAUGUAAAAGUUGAGGGAGGGAAAAUGAUUAAAAUGUAUUAUAUUAAAAAAUUAAAGUAAAAAGAAUAACAACAAUAAAAAUUCAGUUGGGUAUACACACAUGGGGCUAUCUUGUGGUUUCUGUGCUUUAUUCUAUUCUAUAUCUUUCCCUGUACUGAUUGAUACCGUAUUGUCUGCAAUUACUUCAGUAAUAUUCUUCCAUUUUGUUCUUCUAAAGAAUUUCCUUGAGUUUAGGACCCAGAGUUUCCAUGUGAAUUAAAAUGGUCUAUAUUUGUAGAAACCACUGCAAGAGUUUGAUAUGAAUUACUUUAACCCGACAGAACAAAUUGAGAAUUAAUAUAUAAUAGGUUGGGUCUUCCAUUCCCUGAAAUACUGCAUAUGUCUUCAUUUAGUCAGGUCUUUGAUUUUUAGCUCACCAGCAAUGAAUAAUUUUCAGCUUUGAAAUUUUAUAUACACCAUGUUAGAUUCAUAACCAUUUCAUUUUCUCUGUAAUAAUUAUAUAUUGUAUUUUUUAAGGUUUCCACUCAUUUGUUACUGUUUCAUAAAAUUAUGACUGGUUUCUUUCUCUGAGUUGACUUUGUGUCCUAGAAACUUUCUGAACUUGUUUGCUAUUCCUGAAAAAUACUAUUGAAAUUAUUUUUAUUUUUUUAUUUGGGAAAUUAUGUCAGCUACAACUGGGGAGUUUUGUCUCAUUUAAAUGCAUUUGUGCCCUAUAUUGCCAGGCUAUGAUGUUUAACAUCACAUCUGUCAGGAGAGGUGUAGACCAACGAAGAACACUUCUUGUUUCUGAUCCCUCAUAGGAAGAAUCCAGACUUUCACUUUCUGCAUAAUGAUGGCUAUAGGAUGUCUCAUAGUCAGCCCUUACAAAAUUGAAACUCCCAACCAUGCCCAUUUUUAAGUUUUAAUAAUGACUUAUAUUGGUAUAUUUCAAAUGAUUUCCUGUAUUCAUAGAUAUAACCUUGUUUCCUUUCAACUUAUUGAGAUAAGAUAGAUUGCAUUGAUUGUUUAUCGAAUGUCAAAUUAAAUUUGUACAUCUGGAAUAAAUGCUGUUUGGUUACUGUACAUAAUUCUUGAACAUACUUUUAAGUUCACGGCAUUAAUAUUUUGUUAAGUCUCUAUAUGGCUGUGUUCCUGAGAGACAGGGUCUGUUAGGUUUUGGUCCUGUAUACCUGAUAUUAAUUACUGAUAAGAGGUUAAAUGAGUGGUUGUGUUGUGGAACUCCUGUGUAACUUCUGAAAAGAGAUAGUGAGCUGGUGUUCCUUCUGCUUUGAACACUUGGUCAGGAUCGCAAAGAUUUCUUUACUGGGAGCCUUUUAAUUUACCAAAUGGAAAAACCUGUAGACAUUUGCACCUGUUUUACAUUUGUUGAUUUUACUUAGUUGGUAGUUUUGAGGAGUUAGGUUUCUUUUUCUUCUACAUCACUGACACCAUAACGUAGCAGAGGCUGUUGCCUUACAUCUCCUCAUUUAUUUUUUCCUUUUCCUUUUUAAUUUUUUCUCUCCUUUCUUUUCUCUCUCUUCAUUCCUGUUUGCUGUGCCAGAGAAUGAACUCAGCACCUAUGCGCCCUAGGUAAGACAUCUCCCACGGAGGUGUGCUGUACCUCACUCAGAUCCUUGCUCCUUUCUAGGAGGCUAUAGAUUUUUUCACAGCACUGCCCACUUCAGUUUUGGAGCUGAUGGCAUCUGUCCUUCCAUUUUUCUUGGGUUUUCAGAGCUGACUUUUUAUCACACUUUUCCUCAGCUGUCUGUGCUAAUGACAUUUACUUCUGAUUUGUGAUCUUAUGCCAUUUUCUCAACUUGUUUAUUGUAUCUGUUUUCUUUCUUUUCUUGAUUCUGGGUGUAGGAACUUAUAUCUACUAAACUGGGAAAAUUGUUUUCUUUUCUAACAUGAGCAUUAAUUCUAUGAAUAUUUCUCUCAUCAAUAUUUUACUGAUGCAUCACAAAGUAUGAAAUUUUUAAUUUUUUGUUUUUUUUUCUUUUCUUUUCUUUUUUUUUUGAGUUUUUUUUUUUUUUUUUUUUUUUUUUUUUAGUUUUUUGAGACAGGGUUUCUCUGUGUAGUCCUUGCUGGAACUCACUCUGUAGACCAGGCUGGCCUCGAACUCAGAAAUCCACCUGCCUCUGCUUCCCAAGUGCUGGGAUUACAGGCAUGUGGACCACUGCCUGACAUUUUUUUCUGUUUUCUUGCUCUAUUUCUUAAUUUCUCUUCAUACUUUAUAAACUGUGACUUAUAAAUAUAUGUGUGUGUAUGAAUAUGAAUAUUGAAAUAAAGCAUAAUCACACUAAACACUUUAGUACCAGUCACUUGCAAACUCAUCAGCAUGUCAGAACUGACAGAGCUACAAAGAGAAGACUAAUACACCUUCACAGUUUCAGAUUUCAAAAGCUCUCUGAACAAUCACUGGAUCUAUGAGAUAGAGAACUCUGCCUGGAUAUGGAAUUAAUGAGUAACUCUAUAGACUGAGAAGACCCCAGAGAGUUUUUCUAGAGAUUGGCCAGAUUCUGGGUCACAGACUUGCAUGGGACCACAUUGGGCUUGCUAUCUGGGAGCUGGGAUCUAAAUCUCAACCCUCAUACCUCAACUAGCAUGCUAAACCACUGAGUCAUCCCUCCAAAUCCCAGAUCCUUUUGUUAUUAGUCUUCUCUUUACCCUGAAGUCACACUUGUUUUCCAAACUAAUACUUUCAUCCUAUUUUUUUUUACAUAUAUUUGGUGUACACACUUACAUAUGCUUUUGUAUAUGAAGUGGGUUUCUUGCAGGUAGUAUAAUGUUGGAUCCUUUUUGAAAAAAAUUCACAGUAUCAAUUUUUAUGGUUUGAUUGGCAUCUAUAGCCAAGUAAUUAUCACUAAGGUAGACAUUGAUAUGCAGGUAUCAAUCCCUAAAGCUACUGUUUUCCCAAUUCUCCCUUGUUUCUGUUAAUAUUCUCAAGAUUUCAUCAUGAUUUAUUAACAAUAUUAUUAACUAUAUAAUUUUCAGAAGUUUUAUUACAGGUUGUUUUAUUAAAAUUGAGUUUUAAUGCAUGAUUAUCAUUUGAAUGGGGUCCAAGAAUAAUUAAAAUUUUAUCACUUUUUAGCAAUAACAUUUCAUCGCUACAUAAAGGAUGAAAUAUGGUCAGAAAUAGGUUUAUGCACUAAAAACAUUAGAAGAAAGUAUGAACUUCAUAGUAAAAAAAUAAAUAAAAUCUCAACAAACAAAAUGAGAAAUCAUUUAAAAAGAAGCCAUUAAAAUUUUAGCAAAUUGAAAUAAUGUACAAAGACACAAUGGUCUAUUCAAUGAGUUUGAUGGAAAGACUAUAAAUCGUACUUCUGAGGUCAAUUAACACAUGUACAUACUAACUAUAUAAACUAUAUAAAAUUAGUAUUAACUACAUAAAUUAAAUUAACUAUAUAAAAAUAUUCUGUAAUUAAAAAACAUAAGGAUAACCAAACCAUUCAGAAUCAGCAAGAUAAUGAAAGGGGCCUUAAUGUCUUCUCCACUUAUCUUAAAAAUUAUAACAAUUAAAAUGUAAUCCCCCUCCCAGAACAGUAAGAUACACUAUUAAUAAGGAAAAACAUUCCAGAAAUAAAAUAUUAAAAGAAGGUAGAUUCAUUAUGUAGAUAAUCUUACUACUUAAUUUAAAAUUUCAAAAUUAUUAUCAAAAUGGUACUUUUUUUACAAAUUUAAUUUUUAAUCGGAUAGCACAUAUCCCUAUUUUGUUUUAUGAGGCUAAAGAGACUAGAUCCUAUGAGUAAUUCUUUGUCUUUAGAAAAUCCUUAUAUUUAUUCAUCAGUUAUAUUUUUAUUAUAGUAAUUUAUUUUUCUGUAGCCCUUUGUUUACUUAUCUUAUGUUUCUAAGUUAAUGCGCUUAAUUGUGUCUUGCAAUGUUAUGUGUUACAGUCUAAGUUUAUGUCUGAUUAGAAUAGUGACAAUGUAUAUUUAAAUAUGUAGAAUUAAAUAUAUUCUUUAUUAAUGAUUCAUAGAGACUACUUCCCAUAGCAUUUGACAUGCGUUAUCCAUUCCUUUUAUUUAUUUAAAGAUAUAGUUUUAUAUUUGUUUCCAUAUCAGUCAUUGAUUUUUUUAAGCCAAUUUUAUUUUCAGAGAUUAUAUUGCAGUACAUCUUAAAAGAAUUAUUCUCUGUAGGACACAGCAAAAGGUAUUAUUCAUUUUUGUCCUGGGACAAACCAUCUAACCGUUUUCAUGUAUUAUCUUUGUCUAGCUCUCAAUUAUAAUAAAAUAAUACAUAGUAUAGCAUGAGUUGAAACUUCCAAGUAUUCCAACACAUAGCAGUUCUCAUCAUGGCAUGGACUCAAAAAAAUUGGGUAAUUAUUAAAACUGGACAUUUUGGACCCUACAAGAAUUUUACAUCAUGUUUAACAUUAACUGCCCAUUUGGGUUUUAUUGUUAUUGUUAUUAUUAUUAUUAUUAUUAUUAUUAUUGUUGUUGUUGUUGUCGUUGUUGUUGUUGUUAUUAUCUCUCAUACAUUACAUCCUGACCUCAGUUUCGCCCUCUAUACUCUUCCGAAUCCUCUUCUAACCUCCCCUUUCUCCCAUAUCCAUCCCUCCUUCCUUUCCCUUAAGAAAAGAGUAGGUCUCACAAGAAUACCAACAAACAUACUUUAGAAUAAGACUAGGCACAAACCUUCAUAUCAAGGCUGGAUACGGCAAACCAGCAGGAGGAAAGGGGUCCUAAGAGCAAGCAAAAGACAUGCUCCCACUCCCAUUGUUAGAAGUCCCACAAGAACACCAAGCAACACAACCACAAGGCAUAUGCAGAGAAUCUAGCUCAGACCGGUACACAUUCCUUGAUUGUUACUUAAGCCUAUGAGCUCCUAUGACCCCUGCUUAGUUGAUUCUGUGUACCACUGUAGUUUUGUUGUAUUCUUGACCCCUCUAGCUUCUAUAGUCUUUUCUCCAUAGCCUUUUGGCUUCCCCCAAGCUCCACCUAAUGUUUGGAUGUGGGUCUCUGCAUCUUCUCCCAUUAGUUGCCAGAUGAAGUCUCUAUUUUGAAGAUUGGGCUGGCACUGAUCUAUGAGUAUAACAGAAUAUCACUAGGAAUCGUUUCAUUGGCUAUUUUUGCCACUCAUGUUUGGUUGUUUCCUAGGGCCUCAAGUUAGAUCAGUCAUUGGUUAGCCACAUCCACAAGUUCUGUGCAGCUCAUUUUGCAGGCAGGACAGAUUCUAAGUGGAAGGUGUUAUUCGUUGUGCUUGUGUUGGUGUCCCAUUGUAAGGGAACUGUGAAAUCUUUCUGUGGGAAGAAUAUUGACAUUUGCUUUCCUUUCUUUCUUCCUUUCUUUCUUUCUUUCUUCCUUUCUUCCUUCCUUCCUUCCUUCCUUCCUUUCUUUCUUUCUUUCUUUCUUUCUUUCUUUCUUUCUUUCUUUCUUUUCUUUAUUUUUUUAUUAUUUAUUUAUUUAUUUUUUUUUUUUUUUUUGGCUUUUCGAGACAGGGUUUCUCUGUGUAGCCCUGACUAUCCUGGAACUCACUCUGUAGACCAGGCUGGCCUCGAACUCAGAAAUCUGCCUGCCUCUGCCUCCCAAGUGCUGGGAUCAAAGGCAUGUGCCACCAUGCCUGGUCACUAGGUGUGGGACCAAAGAGUGAUGGUAGCAGGGGAGAGCAAGUGUGGAACAAGAGUGGGGUUGAAUUGUGUCCAAACCCCUGAAAUCUUGUCCUGUGAUCAGUAGGAGCAGGAUAGAUCCCUUCCUGACCCAGGACUGCAUGUCCAGGUUCAUGUAAGCCUUCACCCCAUCUUUACUCACUGGAGGAAGUCAAGUAGCCCUACAGGCAGGUUAAACUUCCUCUCUCCUCAGAAGGUCAUGUCUGGCAGCACUUGGAAUUCCUCCUUAUGCAAAUGAGGUGUCCCCAGCAUGCUGGCCCCUGCCAAUGAUGUAUGAUCACACCAAUAGCUCCUACUCACCCCUCAAAGGUUGAAAUAGCCCUUUUCCUCCCCAUUAAGGAGCUGACUUGUCUCACUGAAGCUGCUUCUAGAGAUUCUGUUCUCACCAUGCUCACUCACUGAGGUCUAUAGCUGACCCGAUUAGCUUCCCCUCCUAGGAUCUGUGGGUUCCAAUCACAGGCUGACCACACUGUCAUGGGUGGGGAGGCAGGCAGAGCCUGAACCUCAACUGGGCAGAUGGUACGUGUGAUAUAAUAUCUAUUAUACUCCAUUGGGUGAUUUAGACAUUAUAUUAGCAUUAAUUCCAUCAGAUCUGACCUGUUAAAGCCUGAUGUGUAUCCAGUUCUCUUCCUUCUGUGGAUUGUAUUCACCUUUGCCUAGUGCCCCAAAACAUUCAUUUAUGUCAAAUGAAGUAGAUAACCUUGGGAUAAACUGUCACAAGCAUUACGUUCUUGUGAAUGGAUGAACGAGUAAUAUUUUAAAGUCCUGCUUGAUUUUAUCAUCUGCCGUUUUUUCAUUUUCAAAGGUACUCUGGGUAGUGGUACCAGGGAACUUUGACCUCUUUCCUCCUCAUUUCCUAAGUGAUAGACUUGGCACCUUUAAAAAAAAUAUUAUUAUCAUGACACUUUCUUUUUAUUUGUAUUUUAUAUUUACUUGUUUUUUUUUCUUUUUUGAUAAUGUAAACAUGUCCCUCGAUUAGUUUUCUUCUUGUAAUUUCGAAGGUGAUGAUCCUGUUUUAACUGUAGUAAUCUCCCGACUACCUCUCUGCCCCUCUCCUCUUCUCUAGUAAAAGAGAUUGACCUUAGGGUUUCCCACAUACCAGGGACGCCUCCUACCACUGAGCUAUACAACCCACUUGUCUAUGAGAUUCCUUUACGACACAGAUGGCUUUGGAGUAAGGCUUUGCUACUGACUCCUUUAGGCACCAAGAAAUUUUUUCUGCACCCCUGCUUUGCUGUCUGUUCUUCAGCUAAGGGAAUUUAGAUAUUAUUUUAAAGCUGCAAAGGUAGAUGCUGUGUUUGUAAUCUGUUCUCAGUGCCCUGAAUGGGAACAGUAAGUUUGCAAGUCCUCUAACUACCUUCCAAUGUAGCACAGUCCUCUUUUCAGAAUAAGGAAUGAGUUUCCUGUUAAUGUCUUUUUUUUUUUUUUCCCUUAUCCAGCUCAACUUCACUAUGGCUAUCUUGAGGUUUUAAAGAGUUAUCUAACACAAUUUAAAUUCCCAGAAUAAUAUUUUUCUCCACUUUACUUUCUGGUAGUCUGUUUGCUUGCUUUCAUUGCUGUUGUUUCUGACUUUUGCACAUCUUAAUUAGACUCUGUGGACAGAAGACUGGUGUCUGAGUUCAAGGUUUCUCCUUACCCAGGUGACACUAACUGUCAAGGUCUGAUGUAACACACAUCAUGGAAGGGAAACUACAAGGUACUUUUAAAAAUGGCAAAUUACAAAAAAGAAAAAUCAGUUUCUCAAAUUAAACUAACAGCAUGUAUCUUUGUGGAUAUAUACUGAAUAUAAGAUCACCUUAAGGAAAUGGAUUUUAUAUCCUGAAUGUGGACCUGGUUUGUUAAUCAUAUUUUAAAUAUGUUAUUUAAAUACACGUGGAAGUAUUUAUUUACUCAGAUUCCACGGGAAAAUAUUUUUAACACUCAAUGGCAUACACUAAAGGUGCAUAAACUCUACAACAGAGUCAAGAUACUUUUCAGCCAUCACAAAUAAAAUGUAGCUAAAAUGAUUACACUCUAGUGUCUCUAGAAUCAUUUCAGUUAUCCUAUUCCUGACGAUUUUGAGGUCUUUCAGAGGACAUGAAUGCAUCUUAACUGUAGAAUAUUCCAGAUCUUCCAAAAUGUCAACUGUGGCGAAAGUUCUUCCUUGUUCUGUUAAGUUCCUGAAUCUGAGUCACAGUGUGGCAGACCAAAGUUCCAUUGGGGAAUAGUUUUGUUCUUUUAAAGACAUGAUUAUAAUUAUUUGAGUUAUUUUUAAUAACUACUUUUAAACAUCACCUAAAUAAAAGAAGACUUUCCACGGUCUUCUUUUCAUGCUUACAGCAGAAGCUCAAUUUAAAAUAGUGCUUUGAACUCAAAAGUAGGGGUUUGAGUCCCUUGUUUUAAUUAAAAGUUUAUUUCCUCAUCAAUAAUUCAUUCUACAAUGCCAUGCACCAAAUAAUACAAUAAUAGUAAGCCUUUGAAGGGAAUUUAGAUAACAUUGGCCCAACCCUUUUAUUUAUAGAUGAGGAAUCAGGUCCCAUAGAAAGAACAUGAGUGAUUUGUGUAAGAAAAGAAUCACAAUGUUUCUAGGUUUUGUGUUUUCCAACCAAAGCAGGAUGAAGGAAGAAAUUUGAAGCACUUCCUGAGCACCUCUGGCCCUCUCUUCUGAUCCCUUCUCAUCCAAGGGAGUCUAGGUAUCAGAGUUCAGAAGGCCUUACUGGAUGCUUGCCCUCAAGUACUGGGACAAAUUUCAUAUAUUCAUGCUAUCUGCAUGCCCUGUCCUUAAAUAUCUAAUGGAUGGUGACUAUGUAAGUAUAUGAAAUGCAAUACUCUUUUUGCUAACACAUAUUAUCGAUUUAUUAUGUACAGACACUGUGGUGAGUAAAUUACACACACCUAUAAACAUUCCAAGCACUUCUCUGUAAAUUCAAGCACCUUAUGCAAGUCUACACAUCUAAAGAGAACAUUUGACCAGAAGGAAUAAUUUGUACAUCCAAUGGCAAAUGGUAUCCACCAGGCUUUGUGCAGACCAUUGCUAACAGAUACCUCAGAUCCCUCUCAGGGUUUCGUGAUAUUGUUCAUCUCUCUUCCUUGUUUGCCAUGCAUAUACAAGGACCUCUCUUGGCAAGAUUGGUCCACGGCUCUUUUGUCAUUAAUAUUCAGCUCCAUUCUUCCUCUAAGUGAGCAUAUGAAGUCUGACUCACCCUCCAAAGCCUCCAGUGGCUCUGUCACUUCUUACUUCUAUUCUGUCCCUGGUCCACUCUCCCUCUCUCCCAUCAGAUUUUCUUGGGAACACCUUCCCAGCACACAGGUUCCCAUCUCCUACAUUCCAUCCAUUUCCCAAGAACUGAUCUAGAGUUGCUGAUUUAUCCAACCUGCGUACCGGGAAUAUGGAUCUGGUGGAAAGCAUUCCAUUCAGCUGCCUUUAUUUUCAUCAGUCAUCUCUCCUUCUGUUGGCCAUCAGAGAUGCUUCCCAGUAUUGCAAAUAAAUAGUUUGCUGAGAACUUUGGUUCUUUAAACUCUAGAAACUCAGAGGCUUAUUUGUAAUCAUUUGCAAAGAAAUGGUUACAUUUUUUUUUCUCUUCAGCAUUGCUUAAUAAAAGAUAUUCCUUACUGAUUCUCAGCAUACAUUAUUUCCUCAUCAGCGGAGACAUAUAAAACUAUUAUCUGUGUGUCCUUCUAAACCAAGCUGCCUUGUGCAAAGUCCCUCUGACCAGCAGACACUGGAAAGCUCAGGCUACUGCUGCAACAGGAAAUGUGUGUGCUCACCAAGCUUAUAUCUUUCCAGCGUUCAGUGGUCCUGAGCAUGGUUCUAUGUCUUGCCAUCUUCUGCAGCUGCCCAGACUCUGGGGCAAAACCACAUCUCUAUCCCUGGAUGAGUGAUGCUCUCUUGAGCCCUGUUUCUGCUUAGGUGCCUGGUUUCAUCUCUUUGCUUUGCAUUCAUCUGCUUAACUGUCUUCUCCUACUUCAACAGCUUUUCCAUGACCUCAGCCAACUGCAAGAGAUUUCCUUCCAAGACAAUCUCACCACAGUCUUGUAGUGAAGAGAAUAAUUUAGUCUUUUGUUGUAAUUCCACAGGUAACCCAUUUCCUCCACUGAGUCCUGAGCAGUAGUCACCUUCUGGGCUUGAGACCCCUAAGUGUCACUUCAAACUACUCUGUUUAGGGAGAGCUGUUAUGGUCUGGAUGGGCAUUGUCUUUUACUUUGGUCAUAUGAAUCCUGCUGCUAUAAGUCACAGUGUUUCCCUGUAGAAAGAAAUCAACUGCUCCAACAGAAGGAGGCCAUGGAGGAAUGUUACUUACUGGCUUGCCUCCCCUGGCUUGCUCAGCUUGCUUACUUAUAGAACCCAGGACUACCAGCCCAGGGAUGGCACCACCCACAAUGGGACCUCCCACCCUUUAUCACUAAUUGAGAAAAGGCCUUACAGCUGCAUCUCAUGGAGGCAUUUCCUCAACUGAAGCUCAUUUCUCUGUGAUAACUCCAGUUUGUGUCAAGUUGACACAAAACCAGCCAGUAUACCUGGUAUCUACAAAAUGCCUAGAAUUUGGUGUUGAAGCGAAGACUAGUAUAUUCUGGAAUGGUUUUCACCAUGCAGUCUCUGAUUGUCUGCGUGUUUUGCACGUACUUGGCACCCUGAGGCAAAGACAACACAUGGCUCGCAGAAGAUCCCUUCGAUGUACUUCUGUACCCAAGUCAGCAGUCUUUCGAGAGAGGCAGAUACUGGAACUUCCUCAUUUAUAACUCAAGACAAUCGAGGCUCAGUGGUAAGCAUCCCAAGAAAAUGAGGCUAGGAGAGAAAGCACAGGUCUCCGGCACGCAGCACCGUGGCUCUUACAGCAGGUGUCUUCACCCCACCUCUGUAGCCAGUGAGGAUGGAGAAAACAGGAGAAGAUGCAGACAGGUGCCACAAAAGCCAGAGUCCCUGGGCACAGGACAGGAAACGAAGCUUUUUCAUGUUCAGAGUGUGCCUUGUGCAUGAACUACGUAAUUCCACAGCCCAGGAAAGUGAAUUUCCAGUAACCCAUUACCCUGGUGCAUUUAAAAGUGUUGAUGUGAAUUUCUAUUCUGUUCAGACAGUACACCAAGGCACGAAAAUUAAUUUACCGAGGUACAAGUGGUGGAUAUGCAUUCUUUAGCUGGUAGACUUCGUGGCAGUUGUUUAAAGUGUUAAUACUUUGACUUUUGGGCUCUGGGCUUGGUAAGGAAUUACAAAAUAGGUAUUUUCAAUAAUGAAACAAAAGAAGGCUCAUACUGAUAGUCACCACACAACCUGUCCCCUUUCUACAGAAGGCCAUGUAGAACUUCUUUCCUGGCUUUGCAGCCCAUCUCCUCCGUUGAAUACAAAUGAGGAACAAAAGCUGUAUUGUGUCAGACAUUCGCGAAUGUAGAAUCAUUUACCAGUGGAUUUAAGAACAAUUGGAAGCUUUUCCUGUUUGCAGAGGGAUCUGAGACAAUACCUCGUGAUGACUAGAAGUUGUCAUAAUUGUCCUAAUUGAUGUUAUUCUCGUGUUAUCUGGGUUUAUUGUGUAUUUAUAUGCAUUUGCUUAUCACAGGUCAUGCUUCAACUCAGGCUUUCAGCUCCAUUCAUAUACGAAGCUAACAAAUCAAUCAAGGCAUAUAAUCCAUCUGAGAUUGAUUUCCACUUUACUUUUAAGUCCCUGGAGCUGACAGUGAAAAUAUCCAUCCUGAAAUACAAGCCGAAGUUGCGAUUUUUGCCAAAGAAGAACAAAAAGAGCUAAUUUUUUUUUCUCUUGUAGCUCUGUUAUGGAUCUAUUUAAAGUAAUGUUCCUGUGGCUUGUUACUAGAUUUCGCCGGAGAAGAAAGUUACCAUCGGGACGCUGUACUUCUCCAGUUUCACGCUCGCUCUGGAUUUCCCUCCUGCCCCCCCUUCUCCCCCCAGCAGCACUAAAAGCAAAAGGAUGGUGUGAGGGAAACACAAAGAAGGUCCCUUGCAGAGAAACACAUCCUGACAUCAAGCAUUUUCAUCACGGCUGACAGAGAAAUGGCAUGUUCAAUUUGCACUUUAUUUACAAACGCUAAACAUCUACGCACACAUGCCUACCCACCUUUCAUAUCCCUGUAUCUGAAACCCAAGCGAGGAAAACAGCCCAUGCGCGUGAAGCAAGCGAGGGAAUGUGCCGCUGCCUCAUCCAGCACGUUUACAAAUGGACCAACCACAAAUACACCACAGGGAAAUGUGCUUCUCUGUGUGCCAAAAUGCCAGGAUGUUAAUUCACAGGUAAGUGCAGCUGUGCGCUGCCUUUUCUAUACCCCACCACCUUCACUGUCCACAGAGGGUCACUGUCUGAAGUUAGCAUGCAGAAUUCAGAGGCAUGAUAUUUUUUGUACCCUAAAUUAUUCCCUCAUCUGAACGGGGAAGAAAUCUCUCUUGUGCGUGUGGCAUUUGGAUGUUCGGAGGCAUCAAUGUGUUGGAAGAACAAAGUACGUACUUUAAGAGCUGGGUCCUUAGAAGUUUCAUGGCUCUUGUAUUUUACUUGCUAAAAUAUCCAAAUUUAAGUAUCACCCAUAGUGAUGGUUUGUAAGCAAAUCUUCUGGGGAAUGAAGGAGGGUUGCAGUGUGCAAAAUAGUCUAAAAAACCUGCCAAAGCUAUUAGGGUCCAUUGUGUCUCUCCAGCUGCUACACAGGCAUACUUUAUCCAUGUGUCAAAAAUGCUUACUAAGUUCUUCUCUUAGAAGAAAAUAAACCGUAAGUAAGUACACAAUAGUCUUUGUCUGCAUUGAGGCUGGCUAAUGCAGGGGCUCUGCACACCAGGAUCACAGGUGCCCUUGCUUUUUCUGCGCCUAAUUCUUUAACUAGCAUUCUACCCUCCUUGAGUGCUACACAGUGAACCAGGGGCCAGGGAAAGCCCUGUGCUGGGAAACACCUUGAUCAGGCCUCUGUAUCCAGUGAGACUGUGCCUGCUCCUCUUCCAAGUCUGUGCCCCUAGAAGUCUCUGGAAACAGCGUCCAUAUCUAUCCAUCUGCACAUCCUAUCAGAAUGCUAACUACUCUACUCUAUGGCGAUUCAGAUGUUUCACUGCGGUUAGAUACAUCAAAGAGGCCGAUGACUUUGCAAACACACAGCAGCAGGAAGAGAAAAAAAAGAAUACACAACAAACAAACAAACAAACAAACAAAAACAAAGAAAAUGUUUUAUCGCAAGAAAAAUAGCCAGAGCUAGGGAAAAGUACCCAAACCAUACAGAAUUAGAAACAUCCAGACACAGAGACUGAGGACUCUGGGAGCAACGCGCUACCAACAGGACUAAGACACCCAGGUAGUUUGCACAUGAAAUUAUGUAAUUCCUGGUUCAGAAACAAUACAGAGGCCUAGCUCUCUGUGCUGCGAGCCCAGUGUUCUUCAUACCCGGAACCCCAGUCUGUUCUCUGUAUAGCAGAAUAUUCAAAAUUAGGCAGUUUCUCUUCUCUUCCUUUCCUUUCCUUUCCUUUCCUUUCCUUUCCUUUCCUUUCCUUUCCUUUCCUUUUCUUUUCUUUUAGAUAGGGUUUCCCUGUGUAGCCUUGGCUAUCCUAGAACUCACUCUGUAGACCAGGCUGGCCUUGAACUCAGAAAUCUGCCUGCCUCUGCCUCCCAAGUGCUGGGAUUAAAGGCGUGUGCCACCACACCCGGCUUCUUUUUUUUUGUUGUUGUUUGUUUGUUUUAAAAAGUUUAUUUUGUUUCACAGAUUGGUAAAUCCAAAAGCAUGGUGUUCUAAUUUUAUAGGCUUCUGUAACAGGCCUCAUGAUAUUUCAACUCACGGAAGAACAUGAAAAGACAGUAAGUGUGCUGGGAAGAAGGAAGGGACAAAGCAGGUUACCCAAACCUGCUCUCAAGACAACUAAGACAUCCAUGUGGGAGCAGAAUUCAGCCCUUUGUGAGAAUGGAGUCCCUAAUCCAAGCCCCUGGAAGGUUCCUCGACUACAUAGAGGACCAGCCUCAGUAUGAAUUAUGUUAGGGAUAAACCAUCCAUAAUAGCACCACACUCUAGCUUUCUACCACACAAUACAGUUUCUGAUAGAAAAACAUUAAUGAAAUUCCAGAAAAAAUUAACUACACAAAUUAAAUACUACAAUAAUAUACGUGGAGAUGAAUUAUGUACACUAAAACUCUUCACGGAAUUACCGGUAAGAAGGUAUAUGUGUGAUUCCCUCCCUGUGACCUGAGACAUUUCUUUUCUAAGCUUGGCCUAUAAAUAAUAAUCAUUCAACAAAGUUGAAACUACCAUAUCCUGCUUUGAGACUUUGAAAUGAACUUCUGUCCUUUUAACAAUUUGUGCCCAAUGUGGCUCAAAUAACUUUGCAAGGACAUUUCUCAAUUUAUGUGUUCCUUUAAAUAUAAAAUUAUUCUACUUCUGGCCUGUGGUCUUCACUAAGAUUAGGUAUUUCCAGUCUUUUAUUCUGGAAUCCUUUGAGAUCAGGAAGUCUGCGUUGGGACUAGGAAACUGGUAUAAGUCCCCACCAGAGAGACGAUUGCACCUCAUCUCAGCAUGAACGUCUCAUGGAAACAGAGAGUAUUAUCUACACUUGUGAAUGGAGGCUUGCCGUUGCAGUUAAAAUUUGGGGAUUAUUUUUAAAAUAAGCUAUUUUUCAAAGUGUUAUAUUGAUACAAUCCAUCUUGUACAGCAGGAGAGUACUUUCUCCGAUUAUGACUUAAUGCCAAUUCACCUUAUUUUAAUGAACAGUUGGCAGUUCACAGCAUCAAGGUAAACACAAAUCUGUAACAAACAACAUGACAGGGACUUUUUAUGUCAUCUUGCUGCUCUCACAUUAGAAAGUCGUCUUAUGUAAAUUGGGAUCACUGGAAGUUAGAAGAACAUGGCCUGCCACCAGAUAUUCUGAGGUGAGUUCUGUCUGGAACGGCCCCAUCCAGGCCUGUGGGUUGAUAGAUGGAUUCUGUGUGCUGCUGAGGUAAUAUGUGGGGUGCUUCCAAUGCAAAGAGCUAAAUGAGUCAUUAUGAAGUCUUCAUUACUGCAGCUUCAACUAAUGGCUCAAAGAAAAGAUGUGUCAAGGUCUAGAAACUUUGUAGCCAAUGAGAGAGCAGAGAAAUAAUGAGGUAAGCUUGUCCAAUCUUUAGGUAGAUAAAAUUCUAAUGAGCUUCAGUAGGGGGUAAGUGCUUAGAGUUCACCUUCAUUGGUUCCAGGUGUGGAGAGAGAGAGGAGAGAGGAGAGAGAGAGGGGAGAGAGAGAGAGAGAGAGAGAGAGAGAGAGAGAGAGAGAGAGAGAGAGAGAGAGAGAAGGAUUUCAUUCCUAGAAAGCAUGUUUCUAUGUUCUUGUCAUGUGCUUGUUUAGACACUACUGAGUGUUAUGUUUCUGCAAAACACUUCAGAGUCUGACGGAAGCUGUGCAUUCUGUGAGUCGUGAAGCAGUACGCUGAACCCUCUAAUAACAGAUGUAAUAAAUGUAUUUUGACAUGUGUUUAAGAAGCACUUUUUCUCUUGAUGCUACAAUGUAAAGAUGUACAAUAGGAAACCCUCAGAUGUAUAGAUACAUUUGCAUGCAAGGGAAGUGAGUGGAGAUAUCAAGUGACUACAGGCAUCAGACAAGACUUAGUUUAAAACCUCACUGAAUCAAGGCAUUAAAUUCAACAUUGGUGAUGUCUAGAGAAGUUGCCUACUCAAUCCCAUGUGCUGUCCCUAGCCAUCUAUGAUGUCUGAUGGUGUUAAAUUUCUCCUAACAUUUAACCUAGAUCUGCCCUGUUGCACUCAAAGCUUACUACUUUUUGUUUUGUCUCCAUUGACUAGCGAUAAUAAUUGGCCUCCAUCCUCUUUGUAAUGCCACUUUACAGGGGUAAAAUAGUAUGUGCCCCUGAGUCUUCUUCCGUGUGAAUUGGACGUGUCUAGUCCUCCGAACCUUUCCUUAUGAGUCAUAUAUUUUCAACCAUUUAUCAGAAGUGCCCCUUGUUAGUUAGUUCUUUCUGUGAAUGGCAGGAUGCCCCAAACCCAGGAUCCAGACAAGAUAUGUCCUCAUCAAGCCAAACGGGAUUACCGAGCAAGGUUUAUUCAUGAAUGCCCCUUGGCAUAGCAUAACCAAGGCAGCUCCGUUUUUCUUAGCUGUCUUCUCGCCUAGCUUUUUAUUGCAUCCUAAACAGCAACCAUCACCUGGAGAGACAGAUUAAUGGCCUUUCUCUGUGAAGCUCUCUCACUCCUCUCAGCAGGCUUGCCCUUCCUGGAAUCAUUCUGCCAACUGAACCCUUGAUUCCUUAACAGGCUUCUUUAAAUGAAGCUCUUCUGCUGAGUGGUAAAGUUUCAUUUUUCAUAUUAUGGGGUAAAGAAGCCCACCUGAUCUCCCUUUCCUUAAUUCUUUUUCCUUUUUAAGAGUUGUUUUCAGUUCACAACAAAAUGAUCAAAAGGCACAAUGAUUUCCUGUAUACCUCCUGUGUACAUGUGGAUAUCUGCAUAUACAUAUGUGAAUGCCUAUGGAAACACACACAACCACAAGCACCCCCACCAAGAUGGAAGCCAGUGCCUGGAGUUUGUGUUGAAUGCUGUGUUGGUGUUGGCCAUUGUGUGGCUUUCAGCAAAUGUAAGAGCACGUGCCCACCUUGUUUCACAGAGGGUCACUCAGUUGGCCUAAGAGUCAUUCGGAGAGACCAUAUGCCUUCCUUCCACUAGUGCCAAGAAGCCUCUGAUCUCUUAACUAGUACCAUGGUUUCUGCUCAUCCUGAACUUUAUUAUAUUUGCGGUUAUGAAUUGUGUAGCCAUGUAUGAAGAUGAACUUUUAGUUCUCAAAAACGACUAAGUUGACAUCAUUUCAGAAUCAUCCAGUUUCUGGAUCAUACUGGAGUUAGUCUUGGUUGUUUUAUUUUAUUUUUAAUUUUUUAUCCAUCUGGAACAAACUACUCUCUCUCUCUUUCUCUCUCUCUCUCUCUCUCUCUCUCUCUCUCUCUCUCUCCCUCCCUCCCCCUCUCGCUCAUUGCCUUUUGAUCAUACUUUCCUCCUCCUCCCUGACAUCUUUCAAAAUUGCCCCCUCUUUGCUCUCCAACUUAUGUCUUCCCCCCACGCCCCACCCUGCCCCAGAAAGUACAGUUUGUGCUGUCUGUAUAUUCUUGGCUGUGUGGUUUUUCACUGGAAUGUAGUCUACACAUCAGAGGCUUAACCCUUAAGGAAAACAGAAUCUUCCUCUCUCUCGGCAGCCAUCUCAUGCUAAUGGUUUAUGUGUUGAGUUGGGAAAGAAUAUGAAAGCCUUUCGCGUUACUAUUGCUAUGGAUGCUAAUGGGCAAUUGUACAGGAUGGAAACUCAAAAUGUCAAUGAGUAAAACAUAAUGUGAAAUGACAAGUAUCACCAAUAGUGAGUCCCACAAAGCAGACCCAGGACAGACAUGCUAGAUUGCAGAGCCUGUGAGUGCUUUCAGAAGAAUUCUGUAGUCUGUUGGUAUUUGCCUCUUUGCAUUUAUUUAACUGUUGUUUCCUGGUCUUACAAGGCACUAUCAGAAAAAAAAAUAUAAACAUUUUAAUGACAGAUGAAGAAACAGACAAAAUCUGAAGAUGAUAACGAUUGUAAGAAGCACUCGUCACUUGACCCCUUCCUGAGCUCAGCCCGUGGAUUUCCUAACUCCCCACCCCCCGCCACCUCAUGAAAUAGACUUUUCUUGCUACUGUUUUUGACACUGCCAGUAACUUCCAGCUUUGUGCAGAUUAAGUACAAAAGGUGUUUAUGUCUCAUAAGUCAUGAUUUAAAUGAACUUUACAAAGUGUUAAAGCCUGAGCUCUACAUAAUGUAUUCUCUUUGCCAUCUGUCAAAGAAAAAUGGCAAUACCCAGAAAAGCAUGUGUUAAGUAUAUCUAACAAUCACAGAUGUAGUUUAAAAAAAUAAAAAGGGAAAAAUGAAAAUAAUUAUAAUAGGAUGAGAUAUAAUCUUUUUUCUCUAAAACUUACGAUUAAAAUUUGUUACUUUAUCAUACAUUUGCCCUUGAACAAAGAGAUGGCAAGGCCUGCUGAGAAUCAAGGUCUUCUGGACAUGGCACAGCCUUUGUGCUCCUGAACUCAUAGCAGCCGUGGUUAUCUGCAUGAGACACACGUGAGUUCAAGGCAGUCAAUGUUUCAUCAUGGGUAAGGGAGGGGUUGGUUAGGCUCUAACCCUGGCAAUAAAAGCUUUGGCCAUUGAUGGUUACUGAAGGAAGAAAGCUGAUUUUACUGUGAGGGUGUAUCUGCUGGUAGCUGCCAAUGCUCCAGGGGAUGGCCCCGUACCCAAGCACAUGCAGGCAGCUCUAAAUAGACUUAGUAAGGUAAAGAGAAUAGGAUGUGGAGGUGGAAAGGAGAGGUGUUGGGAGGGGUUCUAAGAGGAGCAAGAGGCAGGAUGGCUGGGAUUUAUGAUCAAAAUAUGUUAUAUACCUCUAUGGAAUUCUCAAAGAAUAAAUUUUGAAAAAGAAAAAAUAAACAAGUUGUUUUCAGGGGUAUUCUGGAUAUUCAGAGACAGGUGAAGUCAAGAUGAAGUCAAGGUAUAAAUACUGAGAGGCCUGAGACUUUCUACCUUUCUAUCAACCAUUCCAAAUAGGACUCUGUUUGUGGCUCAUUUCAGUGUUAAACAGUUCUAUUCCAUGGUCUUGGAAAAUGGCAAAGCCUCUACUGUCAGCCAUAACUCCUAAUUUUAUGAUCUUUCAGCAGUUGCAUUUGGGAAUUUGAAAACAAUAUUUGUACACACACACACACACACACACACACACACACCUUACUCUCUUUUUAUAUAAAAAUAAAAUGUAAAACUACCAACAGUUAUAACCAAAUAUAUAAAGAGUUCCAAGCUUACCCAGCCACAGCCUCCAAUUCCAUGGAACAGGACAGGCAUCCCUUGUAUCCAUUCUGAACUCCCUACCACAGAAUCUGCACGCAUCAUAAAAUGAAUGUUUUCAAGGACCUCGCUUUGGAGAAAUACUCUGGGCAGCCAUAAAUAACUGGAUAUUUUACCUAACGGUUUUAAAGAGUGUCAGUGUAUGUAAGAUAAAGCAAUGUUACAAUUAGGAUCCAAGCAAUUCGUGGCUUUCCAGGGUAACUUUCUCUAGCAAGACAUACCACAAGGGAGAGAGGUGAAGAAAUAUUCACAGCUGCUUAGGAAUGUCUGACUCCCUCAAUAUCUGUGAAAUGACUCCAGUCUUGAAGCCAACCCAAAGUCUUAGGCAAAUUGUAACACCCCAAAAUACCUCUUCUCCCCAUCACCUCCUCCUCCUUCUUGUAGUGCUGGAGCCUCAGACACUCUAUGCUCUGCCUCUGAUCUAUAUAUACCCUCAGUCCCCAAACACACCCUUUAAUACAACUUUUCUUUUUAAAAACUAGUACUAAUUCCAAGACCAUUAAGUGCCCUUCUGUGAGUUUCAUGUUGGCAGUUGGGUACAAUAUUUCUUAUGCUUCAAACAUACACAAACUCAGAGCAUUAUAUUAAUCUAAAAUAUUAAUUUAUAUACUAUAUAUGAUAUAUAUUAAAAACCAGUCCUUUAAAAAAUCCCUUUGUUGUUGUUGCUGCUAUUUCUUCUGCUAAUAGAAUACAAAAUUCAAAGAACAAACUCUUAUCCAAAUCCUUAGAAGGCCUGCUCUCACUUGCCUCUAACCACUGCAGCAGUUUUACUCUUCUGCUGUCUUGUAAGACUACUGAGAAAUUGGCCAGCCUGUGCUGCAAUGUGCCUCAUUAGUGAGCUCUCUGCAUUCUGUCUCCUUUCCUCACUGGGGAACAUUGAAAGCCCAGGUAGUCAUUACUGCUCAGACUCUGAGAAAGAGGAGAUGGCUCCUCUUCCACCUUCUUACCAUACCAGUUAGUUAUUCACAGGAAAACUUUGCUUCUUUGGGUCUUUAACGACAUGGUACAAAUUCAGGUGAGAUGUAACAAAAGGGGGUUUCCUUCUGCUGGCUGCUUGUGUGCCUCGUGGUUUCAGUUUUCUAAGCAGUAGAAUCUCUUCUGUGCUUGUUUUCUCUCUUCCUUUUCAGAUAUCUCUGUUCAGCGUGUUGGUGUAACUGAGAUAAAUGCCAAGCUGGCUCCCUGCUGUGCGUGGUCCGACACCCCUUGGCCAUAGAGAUUCCAGCUAUUUAAGUUUGGAAAUGACAUUUCUUCACACGUCUUCCAAGAUAGCAAUGUAUGUCAAUCACCGGGAGCUCUGCCAAUGACAAUGCCAAUGGAUUUGAAUUUCCCAUUCAUGCUAGGGUGAAGGGGCUAUCUCUUUGACUUCUCCGACUGGGGCCUUUCAUCUCACCCAGGAAAGUUUAUUUCCCAAGGAAUUUUCUUUGUGGUCUCAAACUUGAAUGACCUUCCUUUUAUAACCUCUGAUAUCACCCAGGGUUUUAUUGCCAGGAAGUACCUCUUAGUUGACAUGCUUAAUACUGGGUUCCUGUGAUCUAUUCUAGGGAACCCCGAAACUUAGAGAGAAAACUGAGGAAAAUGAUCUGGUUUCCAGGUUUGGGAAUACCACUGAACCACUGACCCUUAAGGAUACAUGGAAAAAUAACCUGUAACAUUCAAAUUCUACAAAAUACAUUGUGUUCAUACAACCGGAAGGUAUCUCCAUAUAUCAAUAUGAUUGUGGAGUUUUGUGAAAUGCUGUGUGCAUCAUGGACGCCGAAAUACUGUGGAUACCUCUCAAAUGCAUAGCAAUUUGUCUCCAUGGGUCACUCACAAAUAUCAGAUGGUAAUAGGUCAAGUAUGAGGGGAGAGAGAUAAUCUGCACAACAGUCACGUUUCUCUCAUAUUUGCACACACCUUAGCCUUUAGGUGGCCCGAAGAUUUUUUCCACAUACGCAGUUUGCAAAUGUGGUUUGAAGGGGUGAGCGAUGCUAUUGUCAUCCAAGGGAAGGUAGUUUUAGGAAAAAGCAAGAGAUGUGAGCUUGAAGGAACAUUCUACCCAUCCUUCCUCUUUACCACACCCCAGUGACAAGAAGGAUACCUAGUUGGCCUCCCUAGGUACCCUCCUGUCCUGGCAGAAUAUCUAAGAGCAAUGCAGGGCUGCUUCCACCCACCUGACCAGCUCUCACAUCGAGGAAGAAAAAGGGACAGCUUAUCUAAUAACAAGACUUACUGUUCUGAAAGGAACUCCUAUUUUUCUCUGCUUGGACCAGGAGAGGCUUGUUGUCCAUCCUGGGUGUGGCCAUCCUCACCAAGGGCUAUGGAAAACGUCUCUGGGAAGUUCCAAACCAAUAAGCAAAGAUUUGGCAAAUCCCUGUGUUCCUCAGACUAAUAACGUCUUCAAAAGAGGGACAUAUUAGUCAACUCUGAUAAAAUACUUGAGAUGAUCAACUUAGAAGAAAAAAUAUUAUUUCAGAGCUACUAAUGCAUGGUGGGUUAACCCUGCUAUUUUUUGUAAAGUAACAUCUCAUAGGAGGGCAGCAGAGCCUAGAUCCAAACCUAAGAAAUGAGAGGUCCCCUUUAAAGGCACGCCUUCAUUGGCCUGAAACCCCUUUCUAGAAGCAGUGGGCUGAUGAUCCCAUUUUCUAACCCACAGGGCUUUUGAGGACAUCUCAGAAUCAAGCUAAGAGAGAAACAAUCCUAAGGCCCAAAUCCUUAAGACUAUUGCAGACUGGUUCUCACAUUUCUCAGGAAGUGUUCUGUCUCCCUUUGAGCUUCACUGAAUGUGUUCCUAGUGCAGAGUCAGUUUUACAGUAUUUGACUUUCUGACUAGUAUUUUUGGUCUGGUGGUUUAGGGUGGCCACUAAAAACCCCACCUUUCCCUUUGGCCUUGGCAGCUAUGAAAAACUCAGAAGAGACAGAAAUGCAACUGAAAACGUCCAGCUGCAAUGUGACUUCUAAGCUGAUGAUUUAAGAAUCUGGUUUACCUCCUGUCCACACCUGGUCCCUCCAGGUCUGAGUCCCACACAGGCUACUACUGUCAUGCUCAGAGCCGACUCUCAAACUCUACUGCCCACCCCAGAAGGUGGAAAUGUUUCUCCUUUAUUUUUCCAAUACUGGAAAAGUGAACCAAAAGUUCUUUCUCUCUAGGGGAAGACAUAAAACUAAAACUAAACACUACAACCAAAAUGCUUGACCAGAGUGCCUGCCAUGCACAGUAGACUCCCAAUCUGCAUAGCUUCAUUACAGGUCUGACUGUUGCAACUAUGGUUGAAUAUGAAAAUUUAUAGCACCUUCAGUUUCCAAGGAAUUUUUUUUCUAAACAAAAUGAAAUAUUCUACUUACCAAUCUGGAAAUGAUACUCAGUUUAUUAAAAAUGCCUGCCAGUUCUUUGACCAUAGUCCUGGGAGGAGGAAAAAAAAACCUCAAUGAUACAGACCCAGCUUCUUGAACAAGCAGACCCACUAUGUGAGUUUCUAAGUAAGCAGACCCAUGGCAGGCUUCUUAGUCCCACUGUGUGGGUUUUUAAGCGAGAAAAACUUGUAUACCUCUGCCCUCAGCUCUGCUCCUUCAGCUCCUUCACAGUCAGAGUUGGAAGCUAAUAAAGUAGCCAAACAAAGGAACAAACCACAGUACCUCCUUCCCCCAAGCUACCUGGAAGCUCCAGGGCAGUAGUCUAGGUACACGGUGUCCACAUUACAUCCUACCAGUGCCUACACAGAUGUAGCUGGGGGAGGCUGAUAUACAAACAAACAAGGGUGCGAGUGGGCUGUACAUAGAGGAAGAGAUGGCUUCGCUAGAUGCCUUUCAGAUGCAGUUAUCCCAUACAGCCCUCAGAUGACACACAAUAUUACAUCUAAGAGUGUUCUGUGGACUGUGUUAGCGUGUUAGCAUGUUAGCAUUCCAUCUAGGCUCCAUCCAACAGUUACCUAUCAACCUUCAGGUAGGCCUGGCUUGCUAUGAAAGGGACUAUUUGGCCUCUCUUAGCUCUCUCUGCUCCUUUUCUCUAUCUCUGUCCUUCCCCCCCUUCCCUCAUUCCUCCUCUCCACAUGUUUUUCUUCUUCUUCUUCUUCUUCUUCUUCUUCUUCUUCUUCUUCUUCUUCUUCUUCUUCUUCUUCUUCUUCUCCUUCUUCUUCUUCUUCUUCUUCUUCUUCGUCCCCCACCACCUCCACUCCCUUCUCAACUCCCCUUCUCAUGUGCCAAAUAAACUCUAUUCUAUACUAUGACUGAUACCUCAGGGGGAAAGAUGUCUCAUCAUGAGCCUGUGGAGACACCCCUCCAAUUGCAUCAUAUCACACUCUACAAAACAUAUCAUUGGCCUUACAAAACAUAUUCGCCUGCAGGGUAAUAUGCUUGGCAGAAUGGUGAGCCUUGAGAAGUCACAGAUACAUUGUGAUAAAAUGUCACUACUGUUAUUUCAAAGUUACAUUUAUUUGUUCACAUGUGUGAGUGUGAACAUGUGUGUAUGUGCAUGUGCAUGUGUGCAUGUGUGUGUGCAUGUGUGUGAGUGUGUGUGUACUAUGGUACCUGGGGAGGUCAGAGACAUCUUGAGCGAGUCAGUCCUUUUUUCUUACUGUGUGGGUUUCUCAAGUCCUCAGAUUUGGUGACAAGCACCUAGCCAUCUCAAUGGUCACCAAAGUUCUCAUUUUAUAAAUAGAUGAAGUGAAUUACUAAGAAUAGAAAUGAUUUACUAAAGAUUUGAUGGCAGUAAUGGGACUGGUUUGUAUCUUUCUAAUACAGAAACAGGUUUCAUUUUGUUUUAAAUUUUUAUAAAAAAGCAGAGAUACUUUGGGGUUAUCAGAGUUACCUCCAAACUCGAUGGGGACAGAAGUUACUGGUGUUUCAUACUUCCUCUUCUUCCUCCUCUUCUUCCUCUUCCUCUCCUCCUCUUCUUCCUCUUCCUCUCCUCCUCCUCUUCCUCUUCAGUAUAUAUACUAUACACCUCUGCAAUAAACUAGUUCCAGAAAAUGAAUGGGUUGCCCUAAUAACUGUAGGAAAGUAGACAGGACAAGGGGCAAAGGGUUUAGAACAGUCUAUGGCCAGAAAACAACAUCUGGGGAGCCAUGGGUUUUUGGAGGUCGGCUAACACUGGUAAAAGGCCUCCUGGCAGAAGGAAGAGUCAACACCAUUUAGCCAGAAAUAGCCUAAGCAUUUUGGGAAUGGACAACAUAGGAACGGACGAUACCAAGGCAGAAGGACCACUAUUUUGGAGGAAGAAGCAGUUUCUGAGAUGUACAUAUACCUAAAAGCAGCUCAGUAGAGCCAGAUCCAAAGACGGGACAGGAUGUUUGCAGAAAUCAGACUAUAGAAAUAGGAAGUAAGCAGAGAGUCAGUCCAAGGAUAUUGCCUUCAUCCCACCAGCAUUGGGAAAGCCUGGCGGUGCCUGAGAUUAUCUGGACUGCAAUACAUGAACUGUAAACAAGAGUCAGAACACAGGCCACAAAGGGAGAUGCUGGUGUCAAUUAUGUCCUGUCAUCUGGAUCUGUGGAGAACAAACCACUAUAUCUAAGGUGGGCUCAUCCAUCUUUGAACUGAGUAAAGUUACUGACCAUGACAAACAGGCACUAACCAAUGAGGUCAUACACAACACCUACCAAGCCUGCCAUCUUAAGAUGGUUUCAUCUACCAUUAAAUGUUACAUGUUAUGGGAGCCAUAUACACUUGGAAGGAAUAGUGAAAAACAUGUAUUCUGGUUGGUUUAGAUGUAAUUUUUUUUCCUUUUCCUUUCCUUAACUUGAUACAAAUUAGAGUCAUCUGGAAAGGAGGAACAUCCUCUGAGGGAUUAUGCAGAUAAAGCAAAUCCGUGGGGCAUUUAUUUUCUUGUCUGACCAUGGAUGAGGGAGGGCUCAUUGCACUGUGUGCAGUGCCACUCCUAGGCAGGUGGCCUUGGGGUAUGUAAGAAAGCAAAGUGAGCAAACCAUAAAGAGCAGGCCAGGAAAUGACAUUUGUCCAUGGUCUCUACUUCAGUUCCUGAUGCCAGGUUUCUGCUGGCUUCCUUCAGUGAUCGACUGUGAUUGGGACUUUUAAGUCAAAUAACACUCCCUUCCCUGUGGUGUUUAUCACAGUAAUAAAAAGCAAAUUCAGACACCACAUUCUAGUUUUGAAUUUGACUGCUCUACUGGGCCAGGGUGAUCCCUUUUUACAGCGCUAAGCAGUGUUAGCAAGCCUUGGCUCUCAGUUAUUCCUGCCAUCCUGAGGGGGAGACAAGCCACCCUCCAGUGGGCUGUUCUGACCAUCCAUGAAGGAUGCCCAGCACAGGAGAUCAGGAAUAUUAAACAUAUCUUCCAUGUGUUCCAUUUGACAGUGUGUUUAUCAGUACAGAGCCUCAUCCUGUUAAGGGGAUGAGAAAUUUAAUACAGUUUAAAGUUAUGUAAAUUAUACAUAAGAUCAUUUGACUCUGCCUAACACGUGAGCAAAGACCUGCUAUUAGUUCCUUGGACUGUGGGAAAAUAGUGGUGUCUAUAAAGACUCAGGAAUUCUAAGCUGAAGAAGGAUCUCACAUGAGUACAAUAGUUUCCUCCCUCCCCACCUCCCAGAAAAUCCACCUUUCCUUUAUAAUUCCUGAUUCCAGAUUUUAAAAUGUGAUCUAGUGUUUGGACUUUCUUUGGGCAUUUCAGUUCUUUAUAAAUGUGAUUUGGUCAAACAAAAACCUAGGCCAAUUCUGUUUAAAAUUCCCCUGGCCUCUGUAGAGCCAUCAAUUUAAGCUACCUUCUGUCUGGAUUUCCCCUGCCAACAAUUUGCUGCUUGGUCACUGUUUCCAAUUGCUAAAGUGACCCUGAGCUGCAUUUGCUGGAGAAUGUCCUGAUUUCGGCAAGGUGGGGGAGACACCCUAGAACAUAGGGCUGUUCCAUUGACCUGGUAGCCCUGGCAAACACUUAAGUAGCUAUGUAUUCUUAUGCCCUAAGAUGUUACUGAUGUGGUAUUGGGGGCAGGGUGUGACAUCAAAGACAAGAGGCCACAUCUGAGGCUAUCAGUCUCAAAGACUGCCCUUUCUCACAGGUCCUUAGCUUAGUUCACGACCCACAAUAUAUCAGAAGAGAACUGUCCUUUAAUACCCCUAAAGGAACUCGUUAAGGCUGAGUGUGUAAGCUCCUUUCCAAUCCAACGGAAAUUGCUCCGAGGACCUAGAUGGAUGUCUAAUGGGCAGGAUGCAGCCUCAUACGCUGUGGUUGUGUCCACAGAUGAUUGUUGCCUUCACUUCAUCGCUUCCACUUACAUCAGGUACCUCACAGGUCUCUCUGUAGCUUGUCUUAACUGUCAGCACAACUACAUUGUGUCUUUUAUGCAUGAAGUAAAGAUAAUUUGAACACA